CAAUAGCGUAUAUUAAAGUUGUUGCAGUUAAAAAGCUCGUAGUUGGAUCUGUGGUGUGCGGUGGGCUCCGGGCACUUGUUGUCUGAGUAGCUCGCCGCUGCCAUCCUUGGGUGGAACCUGUGUGGCAUUAGGUUGUCGUGCAGGGGAUGCCCAUCGUUUACUGUGAAAAAAUUAGAGUGUUCAAAGCAGGCUUAUGCCGUUGAAUAUAUUAGCAUGGAAUAAUGAGAUAGGACUUUUUCGCUGUUUUGUUGGUUUGCGCGAAGAGGUAAUGAUUAAUAGGGACAGUUGGGGGUAUUCGUAUUCCAUUGUCAGAGGUGAAAUUCUUGGAUUUUUGGAAGACGAACUACUGCGAAAGCAUUUACCAAGGAUGUUUUCAUUAA
rnacentral:rRNA from 1 species